UCCCCAGCGGUCCAGUGGUUAGGACACGGCACUUUCAUUGCCAUGGAGCAGGUUUGAUUCUUGGUUGGGGAG
rnacentral:tRNA from 1 species